GGGCUGGUGGCUCAGUUGGAAGAGUACUGCCUUGGCAUGGCAGAGGCCGCGGGUUCGAACCCCGCCCAGUCCA
rnacentral:tRNA from 1 species